CAGAUGGCGGCGGUUGCACUAAGGUUCCAUCCGCUGUCUGAGUCUUUGAGGGUUUGUGAAGGAGCGAGACAAGAUGUCUGAUUUCUAUUUUGCGUGUGUGGGAGCGUUCAGCGCUAUAUUGUGGGUGGGCUUUGCCCUGUAUAAAAUUUUCGGAAGGAAGAGCGGCCAUGCUUGGCUUGGGGACCUGGAGGCUGCCUCCGGCGAUGAGCCAUUGGCCUAUUACGAGGAGUACGACUUCUCAUCUACUGUCCUGGUCAUGGAGGAAGAGUGAGAGGAGGACACCAGAAAAAGGAGUAAUCCAGGAGAGCCUAGAAAGACCAUAGGCCUAUAUGAGAUAAUGGAAAUAUAUCUAUAUCUAUACAUCUAUAUAUGUGUCUGCGCUUUUUGUCCAACAUUUUUACCUCACAUUCUUUAGUAGAAAUCCUGGAAUAAGAUGAUGUAAUGGGAAGAACACGUCCUCACACAGUUCUGUAGGUGUAUAUAAAUAUGUUGCUAGGGCCGGAUAAAAUUAGAAAAAGCUGCCGAUA